rnacentral:rRNA from 1 species
GAUGAACGCUGGCGGCGUGCCUAAUACAUGCAAGUCGAGCGAACGGACGAGAAGCUUGCUUUUCUGAUGUUAGCGGAGGACGGGUGAGUAACACGUGGAUAACCUACCUAUAAGACUGGGAUAACUUCGGGAACCCGGAGCUAAUACCGGAUAAUAUUUUGAACCGCAUGGUUCAAAAGUGAAAGACGGUCUUGCUGUCACUUAUAGAUGGAUCCGCGCUGCAUUAGCUAGUCGGUAAGGUAACGGCUUACCAAGGCAACGAUGCAUAGCCGACCUGUGAGAGUGAUCGGCCACACUGGAACUGAGACACGGUCCAGACUCCUACGGGAGGCAGCAGUAUGGAAUCGUCCGCAAUGGGCGAGAGCCUGACGGAGCAACGCCGCGUGAGUGAUGAAGGUCUUCGGAUCGUAAAACUCUGUUAUUAGUGAAGAACAUAUGUGUAAGUAACUGUGCACAUCUUGACGGUACCGAAUCAGAAAGCCACGGCUAACUACGUG